rnacentral:pre_miRNA from 1 species
AAUGGCACUGGAAGAAUUCACGGGAUUUUUUAUAUAUAAUUCCCGUGAUCUCUUAGUGGCAUCUA